GGCCCGGGCGCACGCAGGUGGGGCACAGGCCCAGACGGCAGCCGACUCUCCCGAGACACAGGGCCGAGAAGAACCGUCGGCAAACGCACCAGACGGGCGGAAAAAAAGAGCAGGAUGAAGGGAGGAAGAUAUAGCCAGCCAGAGAAGGGAGAAGAGGAGAAACAUCUGGAAAAUAUCAGUGUUGCAGAGCCUCCCGGAAACUGACCUCGCCACCGAAAGGGUGAAUGGGGUCAAAAUGGAAACAGCAUGAGAGGGGCCACAGAAGGGAUUCACCAGGAAGAAGAGGAAAGGUGGGGCUGAGGUGGCCAGGACAGCACGACAUCACAUCUGACCAAGGCAUCCUCAGCCUUCCUUCAGAAAAGCAGCAGAAGGAAAAAGCUGGUACCAUUCUAAGCUUCAUCAGUGGAGAGUACUGUAGAGACAUUACAGAAAGAAGCAGUUUUCCUUCCUGGUUCCGGUACACUCUUUCUGCAGGCUGCUGCAAACACGCAUGGCUCCUAGAGUAUCCACACCUUCUUCAGCAACUGGCUCCUGCUGAACAUGAUGGUCAGCACCUCCCAGCCUCCAGCAGCUUCCACUGGCAUCCCUCUCGGUUGAUUUUGCAGCAGAAUGCAUCCAGUGAAAGACCUCCACAUGAAUAGCUUUCCUUAGCAUCUUAGAGGGUAGAUUUCUAGCAAGUUCUGCCAGCAUAGCACCCCAGUGACUUCUCUGCCAGCCCAGGAGCCACAGCAGGCCAUGACCUCUCCAGCAAGGUCUGGAGCAGAGAGAAGCAUGUGUUUGGGUGCUCUAUCAGACCCACGGCCCACGGGUAGGGGCUGCUCCUUAUAUCUGCUAUUCCUCUGUUAUUUAAAGUUCUCUUUACUUCCUGUUAGCUAGUCCCCAUUAUAGUGAACUACUUCUCUUUUUCUUAACAGUUUUCUUUUGUAUUUUUUAAAAAUUGUGGCAAAAUACAUAUAGUAUAAAAUUU
rnacentral:lncRNA from 1 species